rfam:Fonsecaea pedrosoi CBS 271.37 unplaced genomic scaffold supercont1.5, whole genome shotgun sequence.
GCCUUCAUGGCGCAGGGGUAACGGCAAGUGCUUCAGAAACCCUCUAGGGAUGUAGGGAAGCUAACAGGAAUGCUCAGCGUCGCACUUGUAUUGCGAAAACGCGAUAUAUGCGAAGAUCACAAGUUCGAAUCUUGUUGGAGGCA